rnacentral:piRNA from 1 species
UNGAAAGUACUUUUUGGUGUGCUUCGGGCUC